CUUCUGAUGGCGACCGGCGCACGGGUGCGUAACGCGUAUGCGACCUACCUGUAACAGGGGGAUAACACUGAGAAAUCGGUACUAAUACCGCAUAACACUAUGAGAGGCAUCUCUUGUGGUUGAAAGUUUCGGCGGUUACAGAUGGGCAUGCGUUGUAUUAGCUGGUUGGUAAGGUAACGGCUUACCAAGGCGACGAUACAUAGGGGGACUGAGAGGUUAACCCCCCACAUUGGUACUGAGACACGGACCAAACUCCUACGGGAGGCAGCAGUGAGGAAUAUUGGUCAAUGGACGGAAGUCUGAACCAGCCAUGCCGCGUGCAGGAAGACGGCUCUAUGAGUUGUAAACUGCUUUUGUACAAGGGUAAACCUGAAUACGUGUAUUCAGCUGAAAGUACUGUACGAAUAAGGAUCGGCUAACUCCGUGCCAGCAGCCGCGGUAAUACGGAGGAUCCAAGCGUUAUCCGGAUUUAUUGGGUUUAAAGGGUGCGUAGGCGGAUUGAUAAGUUAGAGGUGAAAUGUCCGAGCUUAACUCGGGAACUGCCUCUAAUACUGUUGAUCUAGAGAGUAGAUGCGGUAGGCGGAAUGUAUGGUGUAGCGGUGAAAUGCUUAGAGAUCAUACAGAACACCGAUUGCGAAGGCAGCUUACCAAUCUAUAUCUGACGUUGAGGCACGAAAGCGUGGGGAGCAAACAGGAUUAGAUACCCUGGUAGUCCACGCAGUAAACGAUGAUAGCUCGUUGUCGGCGAUACACAGUCGGUGACUAAGAGAAAUCGAUAAGCUAUCCCCCUGGGGAGUACGU
rnacentral:rRNA from 1 species